GUGUCAGCCGCCGCGGUAAGACGAAGGGGGCUAGCGUUGUUCGGAAUUACUGGGCGUAAAGCGCGUGUAGGCGGUUGCCAAAGUCGGGUGUGAAAGCCUUGAGCUUAACUCAAGAAAUGCACUCGAUACUUGGUGACUAGAGGACCGGAGAGGAUAGUGGAAUUCCCAGUGUAGUGGUGAAAUACGUAGAGAUUGGGAAGAACACCAGUGGCGAAGGCGGCUAUCUGGACGGUUUCUGACGCUAAGACGCGAAAGCGUGGGGAGCAAACAGGAUUAGAAACCCCAGUAGUCC
rnacentral:rRNA from 1 species